CAUCUAUUCCCUCUGUUUCGAAUUACUUGUCGCAGGUAUGGAUGUAUCUAAAUGUAUUUUAGUUGUAGAUACAUUUAUUUCUACGACGAGUAAUUUGAAACGAAGGGAGUACGAG
rnacentral:pre_miRNA from 1 species